CCUCUCGAGCCCCUCGCUGCCCCUGACAUGCACCUCCCACUAUCUCCUCUCGUGGCAUCCGUGAUGAUCGCCCUGUGACUGUGCUUCUCCGCCGCUGAUAUCUCUGCUUUCUUCUCAAGGUCCCUUACCUCCUUUGGACUCUUCUAACCAGACCCAUUUCUCCAAGGUUCUUUCUAGGCAUGGUUGUGUUCUCAUCGCUGAUCCCCUUCCCUUGGAGCUCUCCAGUAACAGAUGGGAAUGCUAAGAGGGUCUAGCCUUGGACAUGCACAGAAAGUUCUACAUGGGACAUAACCACUGUGUUUCCAUGGUCAUCUUUGCAGACGGGCAUCUGAGCCUCAGUAAGGUGACGGAGCUUCUGCAUUUUACUUUCUAUCCUGCUGGAGGAUAUGUAAUCCUUUCCAUGGGCAUUAACUACUUUUCAAAUAGUAAUUGCAAUGACAGUGUGGUUUUCUAGAGGAGAAGGGAUGGAUGUCUUCUGACUGUGUUCACAGGCAAUUCUGUAUUGAACAGUCUGUCUUUAGGAUGGGGUGGAAGAAGGACAUUCAGAGUAUAACAGACAAUCUGGGCAAAGGCACAGAGUAAGAGAGAGAAGGGAUUGAGAGGCCUUGGUGCUUAUAUAGAAAUUUCAGGCCUCACUGGUGGAGACAGAGAACAUGGGGGAAGCAGAUGUUUUGGCAAGCUAAGGAGAUCCUCUAGGUUCCCUCAAAAUCACUCAGGGGCCGAGUCUGCCUCCCAGUCAGGCAAACCCUGCAUGCUCACACAGGAUCCCUAGGAUCAAUAUGUGAUCUAGGCCAGAGUAACGUACCUGGGAGACUCUCUGCAGGCCUGGGCUCUGUGUCGCUGUGCCUUCUGAGACUGACUACAGGGAGGGGGGCGAUUCACCAAGGCCUGACCUCCAUUGGGUUUGUCCAUAUGCUUGCCUAGGGUACCUGCAGGUCUGCCAGGAGGGGAUGAGCUCAUCCAAGACUAGGUGAUCCUUAGUAGCCUUCUAAGUUAAAGGAAGAACUAUAAAAUGGGUAGGAAAUUUAGACUCAUCCUCUAACAUUUGGGAUCCAGCUAUGAAUACAAAGGAGGCCUGCUCCCACAUGUCUAAAUAUUGGAAAGUUACAAACCAAGCUAACAAACUAUUAAAUAUCAUAUGUUCUCUCCUCUAACCCUUGAUAAAUAUACCUUCAUGACAUCCUGAAGGCCAAGUUUGAAUUUAGAAUUUGUGGACCCCUUGGAGUUCCCUACUGUAUUAUGGUGGCCUAAGCAGAGGGCUGGCUUCAUAGCCUGGCUCCAUCUGGUAGGGUCUUGAGUACACAUGUUUGUACCCUCAGCUCACAAGUUCAAGCUCCAGGUCCACACACACACACAACCAAAACCCACCACUUGGUCACUGCUGAGGCUCAUAGGUAUGCAUACCGUAGCAUAGUCUACUCUUGUUGGCAAGUCAGGCAUAGGUUAGAGAUCUGCACUGACCUUGGGAUUAAGCUCAGGGAAUUGGGCAGGAAACUCCAGGGUCUGAGUACCUGAAGCUAGACUGUGGCUGGAGGAGAGCAAGGAGACCCCUAACUUGUGGGCCGCAGCAAGGGCCACUCUUGUCCCUGGAUAGGGGUGCCCACUGUGGGUGAAGGUAGUCAAUGAGGAAGAGCCUCCAGAUUUCCUAGAAGAGUCCUCCGUGCGCCCAGGCGUCUCCCUGUCCCAGACUGGGCAACUGCCUGACACCUCGUGCCUCGGGGUCAUUCAGGUGUCAUCGUCUCACGCUCCUGACACAGUAGGGAACUUGUUUUCCUCUUCUCUCACUCCCUGACUCUAAUCCCCACCAGCCUGUGCCACUUGGCUGGCCUCCUUGGCAGAAAGGUGACAAAAGGAAGUGUCUCUGGAGAGUCAGAUCCCUCAGCCAGAACCCACGCCUCCUUGGGGCCGCAUGAGCUGAUGGUUGAGGGCCCUGACCUCCAGUCAUGGACCCUGGUAUCUCUCGCCUCCCGCUGCUGGGGUGUGGGUGGCAUCACUCAGGGCAGGUUCACUGACAAGAGAAGCAGGAGCUGUCACAGUGCUGAGAGCAAGCCUCCGCUCUCCUCUCCUGCCCUCGCGCCGCUCCCAUUGCCUGGACCGCCCAUCUUCAUCAAGCCUUACCUUCCAGUGUUUCUCAACAUCUACUUCGACUCCAGCCAGCUCACCUCCUCCCCUGCUCCCAACAGCUGCUCAUCUGCCCCCAGCUCAUCAACUUUCUCCUGUCCAAAUCCCUUUCAUUCUUCAAGAUACACUUUAAAUUUCACCUCCAUGAAGGCUUCCCAAUACUUCCAUUAAUCCUCCUGAUUUCUCAC
ensembl:lncRNA